rnacentral:rRNA from 1 species
CCUACGGGUGGCAGCAGUGGGGGAUAUUGCACAAUGGGGGAAACCCUGAUGCAGCGACGCCGCGUGGGCGAAGAAGGAUUUCGGGAUGUAAAGCCCUAUCAGCAGGGAAGAAGAAAGGACGGUACCUGAGUAAGAAGCACCGGCUAAAGACGAGCCAGCAGCCGCGGUAAUACGUCUGGUGCAAGCGUUAUCCGGAUUUACUGGGUGUAAAGGGAGCGCAGGCGGCACGGCAAGCCUGAUGUGAAAGCCCGCGGCCCAACCGCGGGACUGCUUUGGGAACUACCGGGCUGGAGUGCCGGAGAGUUAGGCGGAAUUCCUAGUGUAGCGGUUAAAUGCGUAGAUAUUAGGAGGAACUCCAGUGGCGAAGGCGGCCUACUGGACUGUGACUGACGCUGAGGCUCGAAAGCGUGGGUAGCAAACAGGAUUAGAUACCCGGGUAGUC